UACGUAGGGUGCAAGCGUUGUCCGGAAUUAUUGGGCGUAAAGAGCUCGUAGGCGGUUCGUCGCGUCGGCUGUGAAAACCUGAGGCUCAACCUCAGGCCUGCAGUCGAUACGGGCGGACUUGAGUACUGCAGGGGAGACUGGAAUUCCUGGUGUAGCGGUGAAAUGCGCAGAUAUCAGGAGGAACACCGAUGGCGAAGGCAGGUCUCUGGGCCACUACUGACGCUGAGAAGCGGAAAGCAUGGGGAGCGAACAGG
rnacentral:rRNA from 1 species